GUUUAGUUAAAGGAAACAUAUUAAAUAGUUGACGUAAAACAAUAUUGAUAGUAAGUAAAAGCCUUAGUAACUGCGAAACAAAAGACAGUCUGCUCCUCUUCGAUAGCCGAACUCAGUCGAAACGCCGAACUCGCAUGGACACGACGGUGCUUCGUACUUGUGCGUGCGUGUUGCAGGCAGAUUCUACAAACCCUACAGUUCAAGGGUAUUUGUCGCAAGAGGAAGACGUUUCUUUAUUAUUGAUCUGUGUAAAUCUGUGUUAAAAGCUGUGUGAAUUGAUAAAUUGUGUCAAGUGUGCAGAAAUGGCAAACAUUAUUCCAUUAUUUGUUCGUGGGGGAUGAAAGAUUCUGUGGAAUCAGAUAUCAUAAAAAUAUUGGAAGUUUGAAAAAUGAAGAUUUUCGAUACAUAGUAGAGGAAAUAGUAAAACUUUUUCCCACCAAAGCUACAACGACGUAUUACAUUCCGCCAGUCAAAAAAAUUAUCGCGAGUUGGAAAAUCUUUAAUUUCACGUGGAAAACUGGUGGACAAAUAUCGAAAUAAAAUACGCUCCUUGAAACUUAUCAAUGAGUGGAAACCAAUAGACGAUCAUAGAACCGAAACUUCGGACUUAUCCUCUGAUGAAGAAACAACUGUUCUCGAUGCUAAAGCAUGGCUACAAAGUCAUUCUAUGCCAUAGGAAAUUGUUGUUACAAAAUGGAAGUUAACAGCUGAAUAUCGAUGAAAAAGUAUUAAGUCAAAUCACGAUUUAAAAUUGUUGAGGAUGGGUAUUAAUUAAGCGGGAUUACUCGAAAAAUAGCGCGAGAUCGGUUUCGUAACGUGUAUAUAUAUUUUUCCACAUGCAAAGAAGGCGCUCACCGUCUACAGCGCCACACGGCGCCACCGCUUAACUGCGUAAUGGGACAUUUACAUGACAACAAAAAUUGUGUCAAAUUUUUGAAAGCUGGCCCAUUCUUAAAAAUCCAAAUGCAUAUACAUUAAUUGAAGAGGAUUAUUCUGAUCUGAAAUUAUCAACGCAAGAAUUAACAUUGGAAAGUUGGAAAACUUUUUUUGUAAAAAUUUUAGCUGUUCGGCCACCGA